GAUAGAGAGCUUGCUUUUCUUGAUUAGUGGCGCACGGGUGAGUAAUGCAUAGAUAAUGUGCCCCUUAGUUCGGGAUAGCCACUGGAAACGGUGAUUAAUACCGGAUACUCCUUCUUGUUAUAAGACAAGUCGGGAAAGUUUUUCGCUAAGGGAUCAGUCUAUGUUCCAUCAGCUUGUUGGUGAGGUAAUGGCUCACCAAGGCUAUGACGGAUAUCUGGUUUGAGAGGAUGAUCAGACACACUGGAACUGAGACACGGUCCAGACUCCUACGGGAGGCAGCAGUGAGGAAUAUUGCACAAUGGAGGAAACUCUGAUGCAGCAACGCCGCGUGGAGGAUGACGCAUUUCGGUGUGUAAACUCCUUUUAUUAGGGAAGAUAAUGACGGUACCUAAUGAAUAAGCACCGGCUAACUCCGUGCCAGCAGCCGCGGUAAUACGGAGGGUGCAAGCGUUACUCGGAAUCACUGGGCGUAAAGGGUGCGUAGGCUGGCUUUUAAGUCAGAUGUGAAAUCCAAUGGCUCAACCAUUGAACUGCAUUUGAAACUGAAAGCCUAGAGUUCAGAAGGGGCAGAUGGAAUUAGUGGUGUAGGGGUAAAAUCCGUAGAUAUCACUAGGAAUAUCAAAAGCGAAGGCGAUCUGCUGGGAUGAU
rnacentral:rRNA from 1 species